CAGGAAGUCAGUUAUUUUGAAUUUUCUCUGCAAAAUUUGUGUCGUUUUUGCCAUUUUCAGGGGUUGUACUUUAACGAACUCCUCCUAGAGAUUUAUUCAGAUCAACACCAAACUUUGUCAAUGUAAUCUAAAGGCCUUUGCGAUGUUAAAUUGCGAAGAUCUUGAGGUUUCGUUUAAGGGCGUGUCUGUGGCGGCCUUACAAAUUUCGAUGUUUCGCCAUGAGAAAGGAAGUUGCUAUAACUCAGACAUACAAUGUCCAAUCUGCCCCAAACUUCACAUGUUUGAGAAGACUCCUGACCUGAAUAUAUCUACAUGCCAAUAUUCAGAUAUCGCUAUAGCGCCACCUGCUGGCAACAGGAAGUGACAUGAUUUACGCCGAUACAAACUACUCCUAGAAAUUGUAUGACAUUUUAUAAUUUUUUUUGGUCAAUCUAAUCUAAAGGCCUUUGCGAUGUUAAAUUGUGAACAUCUUGAGGUUUCAUUAAAGGGUGUGGCCAUGGCGCCGUGACAAAGUUCGAUGUCUCGCCAUGGGAAUAGAAGUUAUUGUAACUCAGGCAUAAGAUGUCCGAUCUUCCCCAAACUUCACAUGUUCG
ensembl:lncRNA